AGCAGAUGAAAACUGCAAUCACAGAACAUAAGCAGCAAAAUGAAAUUCUAUGCAUGUUUAUUUUCAGUCAGGCUCAAGAUGAGAAAGCCAGACUAGCAGGUUUUGCAGCAUAUUUUAUGUGCUCAAAAGCAAAGCGAACUUUACUGUACUCUACACAUUUGCUGUCAUCUACGGAGGUGCCAGGAAGAUCGCCCACAAAAGCAGAAUUGGCUGCUGACUGCUGCUGUGCUUACAGUCUGUGAGAUUCCUGUGAUUAUCCCCCUUCCGCAUUGUCUGAUAACUUCCAUUCAGAACUAACACAGUAUAAUGGGUUCGUACUGGACUGUCAUGCAGCAGCCCCAGACACAGCAGCCUCCACCUGUGGUCUACGUGCAGGCUAAUCCUGUCAUGAUGUCUAAUCCAAACUCUGCUCCAUCUCCUGGUGGAUUUCAAAAUCCUGCUCAAAGCUUUGUUGUGUUUCAAAACUCUGUUCAAAACCCUCCUUGGUUUCAAAGCCCUCCUCCAUAUUAUGGUGGGUUUCAAAACCCUGGUCAAAGUCCUACAGGGUUUCAAAACAGUAUUGGUUUUAAAUAGUAAAACGCCUGUAUGAACUUGUCCAAAAUUAAGUUCCUCAGAUCACCUGUGAUUAUACUGGCAUUUAUAUUCUAAAAUGCUAUUUAACUGUCAAUAUUUCCAAUAAAAACCUUGAAUUAAUAUGUAUAUUAAUUUCAUUAUAAACAUUGUAUGACUACUUAAUCAAUUUGAA